UUCAGGGACGGGCUCGCGUACCAUAAGCUUGUUGGUAGGGUAAUGGCCUACCAAGGCUACGAUGGUUAGCUGGUCUGAGAGGAUGAUCAGUCACACUGGAACUGGAACACGGUCCAGACUCCUACGGGAGGCAGCAGUGAGGAAUUUUGCGCAAUGGGGGAAACCCUGACGCAGCAACGCCGCGUGAGCGAAGAAGGCCUUCGGGUCGUAAAGCUCUGUCAAGUGGGAAAAAAGCCUUUCGGUUAAUAUCCGGGAGGUCUGAUGGUACCACUGGAGGAAGCACCGGCUAACUCCGUGCCAGCAGCCGCGGUAAUACGGAGGGUGCAAGCGUUGUUCGGAAUUACUGGGCGUAAAGCGCGUGCAGGCGGCUUGGUAAGUCAGAUGUGAAAGCCCUGGGCUCAACCCGGGAAGUGCAUUUGAAACUGCCUUUCUUGAGUAUGGGAGAGGAGAGUGGAAUUCCCAGUGUAGAGGUGAAAUUCGUAGAUAUUGGGAGGAACACCCGUGGCGAAGGCGACUCUCUGGACCAAUACUGACGCUGAGACGCGAAAGCGUGGGGAGCAAACAGGAUUAGAUACCCUGGUAGUCCACGCCGUAAACGAUGAGAACUAGGUGUAGCGGGUAUUGACCCCUGCUGUGCCGAAGUUAACGCAUUAAGUUCUCCGCCUGGGGAGUACGGCCGCAAGGCUAGAACUCAAAGGAAUUGACGGGGGCCCGCACAAGCGGUGGAGCAUGUGGUUUAAUUCGACGCAACGCGAAGAACCUUACCUGGGUUUGACAUCCUCUGACUGCCCCGGAAACGGGGUUUUUCCGACUCUGUCGGAACAGUGUGACAGGUGCUGCAUGGCUGUCGUCAGCUCGUGUCGUGAGAUGUUGGGUUAAGUCCCGCAACGAGCGUAACCCUUGUCUUUAGUUGCCACUAUUAAGUUAGGCACUCUAAAGAGACUGCCUCGGUUAACGGGGAGGAAGGUGGGGAUGACGUCAAGUCCUCAUGGCCUUUAUACCCAGGGCUACACACGUGCUACAAUGGGCUGUACAAAGGGUUGCCUCUCCGCGAGGAGGCGCUAAUCCCAAAAAGCAGUCCUCAGUUCGGAUUGGAGUCUGCAACUCGACUCCAUGAAGGUGGAAUCGCUAGUAAUCGUGGAUCAGCACGCCACGGUGAAUACGUUCCCGGGCCUUGUACACACCGCCCGUCACACCACGAAAGUCGACUGUACCAGAAGUUGCUGGGCCAACCCCUUUUGGGGGGGCAGGUACCUAAGGU
rnacentral:rRNA from 1 species